rnacentral:rRNA from 1 species
AGAGUUUGAUCAUGGCUCAGGACGAACGCUGGCGGCGUGCCUAACACAUGCAAGUCGAGCGGAGGAUAGCGGAUAGGUAACUUGAAGUUGUUCUUAGCGGCGGACGGGUGAGUAACACGUGGGCAACCUGCCUCAAAGAGGGGGAUAACACCGAGAAAUCGGUGCUAAUACCGCAUAACAUGCAACUACUGCAUGGUGGAUGCAUCAAAGGAGCAAUCCGCUUUGAGAUGGGCCCGCGGCUGAUUAGCUAGUUGGUGAGGUAACGGCUCACCAAGGCGACGAUCAGUAGCCGACCUGAGAGGGUGACCAGCCACACUGGAACUGAGACACGGUCCAGACUCCUACGGGAGGCAGCAGUGGGGAAUAUUGCGCAAUGGGGGAAACCCUGACGCAGCAACGCCGCGUGGAGGAAGAAGGUCUUCGGAUUGUAAACUCCUGUCUUCUGGGACGAAAAAUGACGGUACCAGAGGAGGAAGCCACGGCUAACUACGUGCCAGCAGCCGCGGUAAUACGUAGGUGGCGAGCGUUGUCCGGAAUUACUGGGCGUAAAGGGCGCGUAGGCGGUUUUUUAAGUCAGAUGUGAAAACCCGGGGCUUAACUGCGGGAGUGCAUUUGAAACUGAAGAGCUUGAGUGCAGGAGAGGUAAGUGGAAUUCCUAGUGUAGCGGUGAAAUGCGUAGAUAUUAGGAGGAACACCAGUGGCGAAGGCGACUUACUGGACUGUAACUGACGCUGAGGCGCGAAAGCGUGGGGAGCAAACAGGAUUAGAUACCCUGGUAGUCCACGCCGUAAACGAUGGAUACUAGGUGUGGGAGGUAUCGACCCCUUCCGUGCCGCAGUAAACGCAAUAAGUAUCCCGCCUGGGGAGUACGGCCGCAAGGUUGAAACUCAAAUGAAUUGACGG